rnacentral:rRNA from 1 species
UGGGGAAUAUUGCACAAUGGGCGCAAGCCUGAUGCAGCGACGCCGCGUGAGGGAUGACGGCCUUCGGGUUGUAAACCUCUUUCAAUAGGGACGAAGCGCAAGUGAGCGGUACCUAUAGGAAGAAGGACCGGCCAACUACGUGCCAGCAGCCGCGGUAAUACGUAGGGUCCGAGCGUUGUCCGGGAUUACUGGGCGUAAAGAGCUCGUAGGUGGUUUGUCGCGUUGUUCGAUCGGAAAACUCAGCAGCUUAACUGUGGGCGUGCGGGCGAUACGGGCAGACUAGAGGUACUGGCAGGGGAAGACUGGAAUUCCUGGUGUAGCGGUGGAAUGCGCAGAUAUCAGGAGGAACACCGGUGGCGAAGG